GUCGCGAAUGGUAUAGGUUGUUUUCAGUCGACGUUGACAGUAACCGGCGAUAUCAAGUAUUUGAAAUAAUCAUUUAAAUGAGAGAAAUCGAGAGGAAAAUACAAUAAUUUGAUACGUGUGUGUCAUCUUUCAGAGGAAGCGAGACUUAAUAACAGUGCGGUUCCACGUUUAAUCCAAAAAUCUGGUCCAUCAGGCCCAGCUUUCAGAUCUACAGCUACAACAAAAGCCGGUCUUCCCUGAUCACCACAUCUUUGAGGAUAAUAAUAACAGGGACAGUUGUAUAAUCCUGACAGAGAAAAAAAAUUCUUUCCCGUUCCGGCUGGUCCCUUUGGACUUCCACCACGGUGAAGGUGCAGGGCAGUGGUCAAAGUAAUGUAGCAACUGUAGGCGAUGGUAAGAAAAUAUUGGUUCGACGAUUUGAAAUUUUU